rnacentral:lncRNA from 1 species
ACAUGACAACUGGCAACUUCCGGACUCCUCCUUUGCGUCAUCGGCAAUCCCCCCGCCAUAGUCAUCGGCAGUCCCUUUUACUCGGUCAUCGGUACCAUGCUACUGUCUGAGGACUUAGUCACAAUCAACUCCUCCCUCAUCGGCAACCAUCCUUACCAGCAACCCAUAUCAUACUGCCACCCUGUCUUGCCAUCCUGGACACGUGCCCAAAAACGG